rnacentral:rRNA from 1 species
GAAAUAAAAUAAUUAAUUAAUUAAUAAAUAAUAAAAAUAAUUUUAAUAUAUAUAUAUAUUUUGGGGGUUAAAGUAUUAUAUAAAGAAAAAAUUAUAAAUUUUAUAGGGGAUUAGUAUUGUAAAAGAAUUUUGAAAUAUAUGAAAAUAAAUUUAUUAAAAAGUAAUUUUUAUUUAAUGUAUCUUGUGUAUCAGAGUUUAUUUAAAAUUUUUAAUUUAUAAUUAAUUUCUCGAAUUUAAAAGAGCUAAAUAAUUAAAAAAGUUAUUGUGAUAAAACUAUUUUAAAUAAUUAUUUUGAAAUGAAAUGUUAUUCGUUUUUAAAGAUAUCUAGUUUUUUUAGAAAAAAAUUUAAUUUUAAAUUUAUUAAUUAAUAAUUUUAAUUAGAUAAUUUUAUUAAAAAUAAUUUUUAUAUUUUAAGGGAUAAGCUUUAAAUUAAAUUUUUAUAAUAAUUAAUUAUUAUUUUAAAAAUUUUAUAAUUUAUAUUGUUAAUAAAUUUUAUUUUAUUAAAAAUAAUUUUAAAUAAUAAUAAAAUUUAAUUUUUUUAUUUAAAUUUAUAUAAAAUUUUAAAUAUUUUAAUUAAAAAAAAUUAGUAAUAAUGAUAAAAUUAGUAUAUUAAUAUUAUUAUAAUUAUUUUGAAUUAUAUUUUAAAUUAUUAUUAUUAAUAAAAUUAAUUUAAAGGAAUUCGGCAAAAAAUUAUAUUCACUUGUUUAACAAAAACAUGUCUUUUUGAAUUUUAUUUAAAGUCUAAUCUGCCCACUGAUUUAGAUAUUAAAGGGCUGCAGUAAUUUGACUGUACAAAGGUAGCAUAAUCAUUAGUCUUUUAAUUGAUGACUAGUAUGAAAGAUUGAAUGAAAUAUAUACUGUCUCUAAAUUAAUUUAUAGAAUUUAAUUUUUUAUUUAAAAAGUUAAAAUAAAUUAAAAAGACGAGAAGACCCUAUAGAGUUUUAUAUUUAUUUUUAUAUUAAGUUAUUUUUAUUGAAAAGAUUUCUAUAAAUUUAGAUAUUUUAUUGGGGUGAUAAAAAAAUAAAAUUAACUUUUUUUUUAUGAAACAUAUAUAAAUGAAUAUAUGAUCCAAUUUUAUUGAUUAUAAGAUUAAAUUACCUUAGGGAUAACAGCGUAAUUUUUUUUUUUAGUUCUAAUAAGAAAAAAAGUUUGCGACCUCGAUGUUGGAUUAAGAUAAAGUUUAAAUGCAAAAGUUUAAAAUUUUGAUCUGUUCGAUCAUUAAAAUCUUACAUGAUCUGAGUUCAAACCGGUGUGAGCCAGGUUGGUUUCUAUCUUUUAAAAAAAUUAAUAUUUUAGUACGAAAGGAUUAAAUAUUAUAAUUAAAUUAUAACAUACAUUAAGAAUUUUAUUAAAUAUUUAAUAAAAAUAAUAAAUAAAAUAUAAA